AAAUUCUCAACGGUGGAUGUCUUGGUUUCCACAACGAUGAAGAACGCAGCGAAGUGCGAUAAGCAGUGCGAAUUGCAGAACCGUGAGUCAUCAGAUUUUUGAACGCAACUGGCGCCGUACGGGGCAACCCGUCGGCACGCCUGGUCCAGUG
rnacentral:rRNA from 1 species